rnacentral:rRNA from 1 species
UACGUAGGGGCUAGCGUUAUCCGGAAUUACUGGGCGUAAAGGGUGCGUAGGUGGUUUCUUAAGUCAGAGGUUAAAGGCUACGGCUCAACCGUAGUAAGCCUUUGAAACUGGGAAACUUGAGUGCAGGAGAGGAGAGUGGAAUUCCUAGUGUAGCGGUGAAAUGCGUAGAUAUCGGGGGGAAUACCAGUGGCGAAGGCGGCUUCCUGGACUGUACCUGACACUGAGGCACGAAAGCGUGGGGAGCAAACAGGAUUAGAUACCCCGGUAGUCCCUGAGCGGGCUGGCAAGG